GAUGAACGCUGGCGGCGUGCCUAACACAUGCAAGUCGAACGAAGCGCUUGUAUUUGAUUCUUCGGAUGAAGAUACUUGUGACUGAGUGGCGGACGGGUGAGUAACGCGUGGGUAACCUGCCUCAUACAGGGGGAUAACAGUUAGAAAUGGCUGCUAAUACCGCAUAAGCACACAGCAUCGCAUGAUGCGGUGUGAAAAACUCCGGUGGUAUGAGAUGGACCCGCGUCUGAUUAGCUAGUUGGUGGGGUAACGGCCUACCAAGGCGACGAUCAGUAGCCGACCUGAGAGGGUGACCGGCCACAUUGGGACUGAGACACGGCCCAAACUCCUACGGGAGGCAGCAGUGGGGAAUAUUGCACAAUGGGGGAAACCCUGAUGCAGCGACGCCGCGUGAGCGAAGAAGUAUUUCGGUAUGUAAAGCUCUAUCAGCAGGGAAGAAAACGACGGUACCUGACUAAGAAGCCC
rnacentral:rRNA from 1 species